rnacentral:rRNA from 1 species
GAACGCUGGCGGCGUGCCUAAUACAUGCAAGUCGAACGCUUUGUGGUUCAACUGAUUUGAAGAGCUUGCUCAGAUAUGACGAUGGACAUUGCAAAGAGUGGCGAACGGGUGAGUAACACGUGGGAAACCUACCUCUUAGCAGGGGAUAACAUUUGGAAACAGAUGCUAAUACCGUAUAACAAUGACAACCGCAUGGUUGUUAUUUAAAAGAUGGUUCUGCUAUCACUAAGAGAUGGUCCCGCGGUGCAUUAGCUAGUUGGUAAGGUAAUGGCUUACCAAGGCGAUGAUGCAUAGCCGAGUUGAGAGACUGAUCGGCCACAAUGGGACUGAGACACGGCCCAUACUCCUACGGGAGGCAGCAGUAGGGAAUCUUCCACAAUGGGCGAAAGCCUGAUGGAGCAACGCCGCGUGUGUGAUGAAGGGUUUCGGCUCGUAAAACACUGUUGUAAGAGAAGAAUGACAUUGAGAGUAACUGUUCAAUGUGUGACGGUAUCUUACCAGAAAGGAACGGCUAAAUACGUGCCAGCAGCCGCGGUAAUACGUAUGUUCCAAGCGUUAUCCGGAUUUAUUGGGCGUAAAGCGAGCGCAGACGGUUAUUUAAGUCUGAAGUGAAAGCCCUCAGCUCAACUGAGGAAUUGCUUUGGAAACUGGAUGACUUGAGUGCAGUAGAGGAAAGUGGAACUCCAUGUGUAGCGGUGAAAUGCGUAGAUAUAUGGAAGAACACCAGUGGCGAAGGCGGCUUUCUGGACUGUAACUGACGUUGAGGCUCGAAAGUGUGGGUAGCAAACAGGAUUAGAUACCCUGGUAGUCCACACCGUAAACGAUGAGUGCUAGGUGUUUGAGGGUUUCCGCCCUUAAGUGCCGCAGCUAACGCAUUAAGCACUCCGCCUGGGGAGUACGACCGCAAGGUUGAAACUCAAAGGAAUUGACGGGGACCCGCACAAGCGGUGGAGCAUGUGGUUUAAUUCGAAGCAACGCGAAGAACCUUACCAGGUCUUGACAUCCCUUGACAACUCCAGAGAUGGAGCGUUCCCUUCGGGGACAAGGUGACAGGUGGUGCAUGGUUGUCGUCAGCUCGUGUCGUGAGAUGUUGGGUUAAGUCCCGCAACGAGCGCAACCCUUAUUACUAGUUGCCAGCAUUCAGUUGGGCACUCUAGUGAGACUGCCGGUGACAAACCGGAGGAAGGUGGGGAUGACGUCAAAUCAUCAUGCCCCUUAUGACCUGGGCUACACACGUGCUACAAUGGCGUAUACAACGAGUUGCCAACCCGCGAGGGUGAGCUAAUCUCUUAAAGUACGUCUCAGUUCGGAUUGUAGGCUGCAACUCGCCUACAUGAAGUCGGAAUCGCUAGUAAUCGCGGAUCAGCACGCCGCGGUGAAUACGUUCCCGGGUCUUGUACACACCGCCCGUCACACCAUGAGAGUUUGUAACACCCAAAGCCGGUGGGGUAACCUUCGGGAGCCAGCCGUCUAAGGUGGGACAGAUGAUUUAGGG